rnacentral:rRNA from 1 species
UACGUAGGGUGCAAGCGUUAAUCGGAAUUACUGGGCGUAAAGCGUGCGCAGGCGGUUUUGUAAGUCUGACGUGAAAUCCCCGGGCUUAACCUGGGAACUGCAUUUGUGACUGCACGGCUAGAGUGCGGCAGAGGGGGAUGGAAUUCCGCGUGUAGCAGUGAAAUGCGUAGAUAUGCGGAGGAACACCGAUGGCGAAGGCAAUCCCCUGGGCCUGCACUGACGCUCAUGCACGAAAGCGUGGGGAGCAAACAGG